rnacentral:misc_RNA from 1 species
CAAAAAUAAAAGAACAAGACAGAACAAUUAAGAACAACGAAACCCAAAUCUUUCAAAAAUUUGUAUCUGAACACCACGCAGGCAUCAUCUGCUAUAUUAUAGAGCAAACAUCAUCCAUACUUCCCUCUUAAGUGUAAUUGUUGUAAAAACAAGAUUAAACAUUUGAAAGAACAAAGAGAACCCUACAAAAGAAAAACAACUAUGUAUAUAACACCAUGGCUACAUUUUAGUUCAUCGGCAAAUAUCUUGUCCAUGACUGAAAAGAUUUUUACAAGCAACAUUCCAGAUGCUGCAAAAUGGGUUUUGAUUCUGCAACCAUCUAAGUUUUGAACUGCAAAGUACCAACAAUUAAAAUUUUGUUUACAGUUAAAAAAUUUUAACCCAUUCAUCACCAAUUAAUUCUAAAAACACCAUUAGUUA